AUUGAACGCUGGCGGCAUGCUUUACACAUGCAAGUCGGACGAGUGGCGAACGGGUGAGUAACGCAUCGGCACGUACCGAGUCAUGGGGGAUAACUGUCCGAAAGGACAGCUACUACCGCAUAUUAUUCGAGCGGCCGAUGUGUGAUUAGCUGGUUGGCGGGGUAAAGGCCCACCAAGGCGACGAGCAGUAGCGGGUCUGAGAGGCUGAUCGGCCACACUGGGACUGAGACACGGCCCAGACUCCUACGGGAGGCAGCAGUGGGGAAUAUUGCACAAUGGGCGCAAGCCUGAUGCAGCCAUGCCGCGUGUAUGAAGAAGGCCUUCGGGUUGUAAAGUACUUUCAGCGGGGAGGCGUUACCCGCAGAAGAAGCACCGGCUAACUCCGUGCCAGCAGCCGCGGUAAUAC
rnacentral:rRNA from 1 species